GGGGAUGACAGGUCUCGACGGGGAGGGCUGGCUCCGGACUGCAAGCUGAGGUGCCUCCACCUCGUAAAACAGGGGCAAAGAUCAAGUGCCAAUACAGCACGAACACCGGCGUAUGCUUACGCCAUGGCCGCCUAAGGCGACCAUAGCCUAGCAAAAAGCCCUGGCCGCUUAGCGCGGCCACGUCCACUCCGGGCUCUCCUGGGCGGUCCGGAACUGGGCGUCAUCAAAGCCGAGGUGCGGUCGCUCCCACGCCGAUAAGGGCGACUCAAGGCCCCUCGAGAGAGGGGAUCGGCUGGCCCCCUUCAACUCUGUCGGUUGAGGUGAUCCGGGGCAAGAUCAAUUAGCCGACUAGGCUUGUAGGAUGUCCAGAGUCGAUCUCUUCGGACGCGGGUUCGAUUCCCGCCAUCUCCACC
rnacentral:tmRNA from 1 species